ensembl:lncRNA
AUGGAGGGAAGGAGAACUGGGGGGGGCCUCCCUGCCUCCCACCCAGAUGGAGACAGGGCCCCUUCAGCAGCAAAGGAAGGGAGAAAGAAUAAUGCCCAGGGAAAACCGGCGCCUGCCAGGCUGUCUCCCUCGGGAAAAGGCUUCUUCCAGAGGAAGUGCCCGCUCUGGCUCAGAAGGCGAAGGGCUGCCCAUUCCCCGGAGGGCCAGGCAGCUGCCAGGAGCCGCCUCUGCAUGGAAGCCGCCCACGAAAGCCCCAUCCAAGCCGUCCGGAAGCCCUCGCCAGGAGGCUGGCCCUCGGCCGAGGCACCUGCCGGUGGGGAGACGGGGCCCUCCCUGCUCAGGAAGCUGCUGUGCCUGAAGGCGGCUUCCUCCCGGCUGAAGAGGCCCCCGCCUCGCGGCCCGGAGGCCUCCCUGCUCUACGGGGCAAGCCCCAGGUGCGGGCCGGUGGCAGCCCUCAGCAGAGCGGCCGACCCUCAAGGGGAGUCUCCUUUGAGGUGGAGACCCGCCACGGAGCCCCAGGCACCCUCAGCGGCCGCUCCCCAGCAGGGGGGCCCAGGGAGGAGGAGGAGGAUGAAGCCAUGGCAGAUGUUCAGGGAAGCCGUGGCCUCCAGAGCCAAGAAAAGACCAGUCCUCUCAGGGCCUGGCCAGCAGGGAAGGGAAGACCUUACGGAUCUUGGCCGCCCUGCCGAGCCAGGAAGAAGCCCUUCUCUCGCCAGGGCGGAGGGAGUCUCUGGGGAGCCACCCGGCAGCCUGGAAGCAGGAGAGGCCGGGAAGCUCCUGUCCGCACGUCCACUGAACGUGGGAGACACUCAGGGAGCCCAAGAGGGCAGCGGAGGCCACGGAAGCAGCCGGCACAGUCCUGAGAUCUGCCGCGUGGUGGGGGACAGGAGGGAAGCAGGAAGCAGGGCUGACCCCCUUCGCUCACCAACCCCGGAGAAGAGCCAAAGCCAAAUGGCAAAGGACAUUCCGGAGUGGGAGAGGCUCCAGGCGUGGGCUUACGCUCUUUCGGGCAGGGACAGGGCAGAGGUGGCAGAAGCAGCCAGGGAAGGCCAGGCCUCCCAGCAGAUGGAGGGCGGCUGCCCUUUGUGGGCAGAAGAGGAGGAGGAGGAGGAAGAGCCUGCUCUGGCGGAGCUGGCAGAGAACCCCGGAGGGCAGGGGAUGCUGAUGGGGAUCCGGGACUUCGGCUGGCUGAACCGUGAGCUGCUGGGAGGGCCAACAUCCUCGAGGAAGGCCGAGGCGGCGGCGGAGAAAGCACACCGCGCUCCGCACCCUGAGGAAGAGGCGUCCCGUCCAGGGGCCCCCGGCGGAAGGAGCUGGUGGAAGAGCCAGGGAAGCCAGAGCCUGGGCACGGAGAGGAUCAGCACAGGGGCCUCUUUUCGGACAUCCUCAGGAAGGGAGGAAGGCUGUGGGGCUGCACUGCCCUUGCAGGGGGUUUCUGGGGCCUCCCCUCACCCUGGCCUCCCAAGGGAAGGGGGCUUGCUGAUACCCUGGCGGGUCUCCUCCCCUCCUUCGGUGCCACACGGGGCCAGAGAGCCAGGCCUGCCGGAAGGCCUGCUCAGCCCAGCCCCGGGGCAUUCUCUGGCCCUUUCCGAGAACAGGGAGAAGGAAGAGCAGGGAGAGCAGCAAGCCAGCCCCGAAGGGAAGCCGCUCCGGCCCUCUACGGCCACCGAGAGGAGGCCGGCCGAGCCACAGCCGGAAGCCUUGGGGGCAGAAGCCAAGCUGGACACACACGCGCUCCGCCUGGCAGCCGUGGAGAUUGUGGGCGCUGCUAUUGACGCAGCGGCCGCCCAGCUGGCCCGGAAGGAAGAGCAGGAGCUGGCAGCGCUGGGGCUGAGCAAGGGCUGCCCCUGA